rnacentral:lncRNA from 1 species
GCAUCAAACUUCAUCCCCAAUUGCAUUUAUGGGUUGAAAGCACUUUCCAGAGCACUUGUUAGGGAAGGUUUUAUUCCUUCUGAGGUGUUUAGUGAUGAGAAAUGAGCUACUGGCCACUGUGCCCGUUUUCUAACAGAAACAAGCUGCCACAAAACCAGUAGUGAGAUUCCCAACUGAAUUGCUCUGCUCAAGUCCAGUUUUAAUUUCUGCUGGAGAAACGUGAUGCCAAGCCCUCAAACGGAUGAAAGAUGGGAGUGAAGGUCUUUGGAGUGGGGCUGAGCCCACCUGGUCCUUGGCUGUGGGGUUGAGCCUGAAGGCCAGUGAGCAGCAGGAGGAUGCUGAGGUACCUGCACAGCUCAGCAGCUGAGAAAUGUCUCUGAGACUCAAAGUAGGACCACGGGACAGAGAGGUCAUUGCAGGCACAGGCUUUUCAAGCUUCUCUAAGCACAUGGUUAAGCCUGGAUCAGUCCAAGGCUUGCUGCCUCUCCGGAAGCAAUAAAUCCAGAUAAAACCAGAAGGAGCUGGUGAAGCAACAGCAAUGUUUAUGGAGUAGUCACAUGUUACUGAGCAACGUAGACAGGUAGGAUUCAUCCCUGGUCAGUCCUCCCUUGCUGUUGUAUUUCUCCAGGGAAGUGUGUUUUACUCAUCCGCCUGUGGAGUCCAGCUAUUAAUAGGGUUCUGAAGUGCACCAAAUUGGCCAUUGGCAGUCCCAUUAAGAUACGUAAGUGCAUAUUAC